rnacentral:rRNA from 1 species
ACGGGUGCGUAACGCGUAUGCAAUCUACCUUUUACAGGGGGAUAGCCCAGAGAAAUUUGGAUUAAUACCCCAUAGUAUAGUGAGUUGGCAUCAACACACUAUUAAAGUCACAACGGUAAAAGAUGAGCAUGCGUCCCAUUAGCUAGAUGGUAAGGUAACGGCUUACCAUGGCUACGAUGGGUAGGGGUCCUGAGAGGGAGAUCCCCCACACUGGUACUGAGACACGGACCAGACUCCUACGGGAGGCAGCAGUGAGGAAUAUUGGACAAUGGGCGCAAGCCUGAUCCAGCCAUGCCGCGUGCAGGAUGACGGUCCUAUGGAUUGUAAACUGCUUUUAUACGAGAAGAAACACUCCUUCGUGAAGGAAUUUGACGGUAUCGUAAGAAUAAGGAUCGGCUAACUCCGUGCCAGCAGCCGCGGUAAUACGGAGGAUCCAAGCGUUAUCCGGAAUCAUUGGGUUUAAAGGGUCCGUAGGCGGUCUAGUAAGUCAGUGGUGAAAGCCCAUCGCUCAACGGUGGAACGGCCAUUGAUACUGCUGGACUUGAAUUAUUAGGAAGUAACUAGAAUAUGUAGUGUAGCGGUGAAAUG